rnacentral:rRNA from 1 species
AUUGAACGCUGGCGGCAGGCCUAACACAUGCAAGUCGAGCGGAGCGGCGGACGGGUGAGUAAUGCCUAGGAAUCUGCCUGGUCGCGGGGGAUAACGUCCCGAAACGGGCGCUAAUACCGCAUACUAUCAGAUGAGCCUAGGUCGGAUUAGCUAGUUGGUGGGGUAAAGGCCUACCAAGGCGACGAUCCGUACCUGGUUUGAGAGGAUGAUCAGUCACACUGGAACUGAGACACGGUCCAGACUCCUACGGGAGGGAGCAGUGGGGAAUAUUGGACAAUGGGCGAAAGCCUGAUGCAGCCAUGCCGCGUGUGUGAAGAAGGUCUUCGGGUUGUAAAGCACUUUAAGUAGGGAGGCGUGACCAGCAGAAUAAGCACCGGCUAACUACGUGCCAGCAGCCGCGGUAAUAC